UCAAAAUGAUGUAAAGAAAUUUUUUUGAAUACAGUGAUAGAAAUUAUAAUCACGAGCUUUUUAACACUGAAAUUGA